rnacentral:tmRNA from 1 species
GGGGCUGCCCUGGUUUCGACGUGGGUUCGGAAUCGGCGUGGUGCAUGUCGAGCUUGAUUGGCGCUCGUAAAUCUGCAUUCAAAAAACUAACUGCAAACGACGAACGUUUCGCACUCGCCGCCUAAAACCGGUGAGCCUUGCAACAGCACGCUGAUGGGCUGGGCAAGGGGGCUGUAAAGCCUCCCGGCUGCAAGGUUAUUUACGUCAGCUGGUUC